UACGGAGGAUGCAAGCGUUAUCCGGAUUUAUUGGGUUUAAAGGGUGCGUAGGCGGAUAUGUAAGUCAGCGGUGAAAUUUUGCAGCUUAACUGUAACAGUGCCGUUGAUACUGGGGAGCUAGGAUUUGGUUGCUGUGGGUGGAAUGUGUGGUGUAGCGGUGAAAUGCUUAGAGAUCACACAGAAUAUCGAUUGCGAAGGCAGCUCACAAAGCCAAGAUUGACGCUGAGGCACGAAAGUGUGGGGAGUCAAACA
rnacentral:rRNA from 1 species